rnacentral:rRNA from 1 species
CCUACGGGGGGCAGCAGUGGGGAAUAUUGCACAAUGGGGGAAACCCUGAUGCAGCAACGCCGCGUGAGUGAAGAAGUAUUUCGGUAUGUAAAGCUCUAUCAGCAGGGAAGAAGAAAGACGGUACCUGACUAAGAAGCCCCGGCUAACUACGUGCCAGCAGCCGCGGUAAUACGUAGGGGGCAAGCGUUAUCCGGAUUUACUGGGUGUAAAGGGAGCGUAGACGGCUGUGCAAGUCUGAAGUGAAAGCCCGUGGCUCAACCGCGGAACUGCUUUGGAAACUGUAUAGCUUGAGUGCUGGAGAGGCAGGCGGAAUUCCUAGUGUAGCGGUGAAAUGCGUAGAUAUUAGGAGGAACACCAGUGGCGAAGGCGGACUGCUGGACAGAAACUGACGUUGAGGCUCGAAAGCGUGGGGAGCAAACAGGAUUAGAUACCCCAGUAGUC